GCCCCUGUAGUUCAAUGGAUAGAACUCCGGACUUCUAAGCCGGUUAUGGCGGUUCGAAUCCGUCCGGGGGCA
rnacentral:tRNA from 1 species